rnacentral:lncRNA from 1 species
AUGACUGGCAAGCCUGGCUCCAUCCGGGCUCAGAUCAACUUCCAGCUGGCCAGGACUUGCCAGGCUUCUAUCUUUAGGAGAGGGAGCGGUCUCAUUUCAGUGUUUGGCCACUUUCCUUCCUGGGACUUGGGACUCACCCGCUGGUGCUGCCGGGCACAUCCUGAACCAGCCCUGAACCCUGCAGUCCCCAUAUCCUGCCAGGACAUGGGUUUCCCUGCUGCUGCCAGGACUUUGCUCCGACAUGAGCUCCCUCUGCACGUGCCAUCGCUUCCUGUGGUUCUGUUAUUGUGUGCCGAGGACCCGUCGGCGGAGAGGGGCGAAGGCAGAGCCGUCUGCAGCUGUCAGACACUCAUUGUGUGCUGCCGAGGGGACGGGCUCACGGAAAUCCUGCCGAGGGAUGCUCCGGGGCACUGUCGCACAGCCGAACGGCGCCGUGGUGCCCCUGUUUGGGCUCUGAUCUCCCCGAGCCGCUUCCUCUGCUGCAGGAGAGAUGGCAGGCAGGAUGUGCCUUCGUGCCUUUGUGCCCCCGACCCCCAAAGCCUCGGAGGGGCUGCGGGGGACGGCGGGGAUGCAGCCCCGGGUCGCCCCGGGUAGCCCGGAUCACCCUGCCCAGCCCCGGGCUGGCCCCGGGGCUGGGCAGGGUGAUCCGAGCUACCCGGGGCGGCCCGGGGCUGGGCAGGGUGAUCUUGUGAGGAACUGCAUUGACUUGUUUGUUCAUCAAAAGUAUGAAAUUAGGAUAAAAGGGGGGGAAGUCGGGACAUGGAAUUUGCAGGCUUGACUGGUAACCACAAACAAAGGUUGUGAAAGAUUUUGCAGGACUGGCUGGAACUGAUAACCGAAGUGGAAACCCAUUGUUGCUGAAACUGAUAACCACGGUGGAAGGAGACCCAUCACCCCCACUUAUGCAGGAUAAAAAGGGACUGAAGAGAAGGAAAGGUUGUCAGCUUUUGGCGGAACACAGGCUCCGCAGCUGCACCCAGCGCUGUUUGCUUGCUAUCGCUUGCUGUAAUUAAUAAAAUUAUUAAUUGAUCUUAAAAGGCUGAAUCAAAUUAUUCGCCUCAAUUUAUAACAAUCUGGGCUACCCGGGGCGGCCCAGGGCUGGGCAGGGUGAUCCAGGCUACCCGAGGAGGGCUGUGGCUGUGCAGAGCAGACACGGGCUGGGCAGGUCACAUCAAGGCUCAGCUCAUCGCUCUGUCUGGGGCCGGGCACAAGGGAAAGCCUGGGUGACCUCUGUUUGGCUGUUAUUCAGGUUUUUCUGUGGUCGUUGUUUCUUUAAUAGAACAUCUGGGAACACUUGUCCAGAUCUCACGGCAGGACACUGCACCCUUUGCUCACAGAAACCCCAAGAGCUUGGCUUGGCCAAUUGUGUUCCUUGUGACUCCUCCUGUGGUCCCCAUUUCAGAGAUAUGGGACAGGGCAGGUACUUGUCCCCAGUUCAGAGGUACGGGAAGGAGAGGAUAUUUGUCCCCUGUUUGAAAGCCUGCAAGUGGCCAGGCUGGGAAACACCGGCUUCAUGUUGAAAGAGCUGAGCCAGGUCCGUGGUCAGAGGAACAGGCUUCUUGAGCAGAAUUUAGUUUUCAGUUCCUUAAUUCUGUGUCAAAGCAAAGUGGGAUGUGGCAGAGGGAGCUCCUGACCUGGCUGUGUUUUGGAGAGGAAUAGCUGAGGUUUGGGUAUGUGUGGCUGAGUAACACUGGGAGAAGAAAACCGGGAAGGGAAGAGAAGGAGGGAAACAGCAGAGCUCCAUCUGUGGAGAUUUAUCAGGGAGUCAGCGCCG